GACGAACGCUGGCGGCGUGCUUAACACAUGCAAGUCGAACGGAAAGGCCCUGCUUUUGUGGGGUGCUCGAGUGGCGAACGGGUGAGUAACACGUGAGUAACCUGCCCUUGACUUUGGGAUAACUUCAGGAAACUGGGGCUAAUACCGGAUAGGAGCUCCUGCUGCAUGGUGGGGGUUGGAAAGUUUCGGCGGUUGGGGAUGGACUCGCGGCUUAUCAGCUUGUUGGUGGGGUAGUGGCUUACCAAGGCUUUGACGGGGAGCCGGCCUGAGAGGGUGACCGGCCACAUUGGGACUGAGAUACGGCCCAGACUCCUACGGGAGGCAGCAGUAGGGAAUAUUGCAAAAUGGGCGGAAGCCUGAUGCAGCAACGCCGCGUGCGGGAUGACGGCCUUCGGGUUGUAAACCGCUUUCGCCUGUGACGAAGCGUGAGUGACGGUAAUGGGUAAAGAAGCACCGGCUAACUACGUG
rnacentral:rRNA from 1 species